UACGGAGGGUGCAAGCGUUAUCCGGAUUCACUGGGCUUAAAGCGUGUGUAGGCGGAGUGCUAAGUACCUUGUGAAAUCCCACAGCUCAACUGUGGAACUGCUUGGUAUACUGGUUCUCUUGAGCCAUCUAGGGGCUACCGGAACAAAUGGUGGAGCGGUGAAAAUGCGUAGAUAUCAUUUGGAACGCCAAUGGUGAAAACAGGUAGCUGGGGGAUGUGCUGACGUGAGACACGAAAGCCAGGGGAGCAAACGGG
rnacentral:rRNA from 1 species